UACGGGGGGGGGCAAGCGUUGUUCGGAAUUACUGGGCGUAAAGGGCGCGUAGGCGGCCUGUUAAGUCGAACGUGAAAUCCCCGGGCUCAACCCGGGAACUGCGUCCGAUACUGGCAGGCUUGAAUCCGGGAGAGGGAUGCGGAAUUCCAGGUGUAGCGGUGAAAUGCGUAGAUAUCUGGAGGAACACCGGUGGCGAAGGCGGCAUCCUGGACCGGCAUUGACGCUGAGGCGCGAAAGCCAGGGGAGCAAACGGG
rnacentral:rRNA from 1 species